UACGUAGGGUGCAAGCGUUGUCCGGAAUUAUUGGGCGUAAAGAGCUCGUAGGCGGUCUGUCACGUCGGCUGUGAAAACCCGAGGCUCAACCUCGGGCCUGCAGUCGAUACGGGCAAACUAGAGUACUGCAGGGGAGACUGGAAUUCCUGGUGUAGCGGUGAAAUGCGCAGAUAUCAGGAAGAACACCCGUGGCGAAGGCGGCUCUCUGGAACGCAACUGACGCUGAGACGCGAAAGCGUGGGGAGCAAACAGG
rnacentral:rRNA from 1 species